rnacentral:lncRNA from 1 species
GAGUCUCGCUCCGCAGUAAACGCAAACCGUGCCAGGCUGGAAGACCGCGGCCCGCGCGGCGAGGUGCAGGGCUGCGGCGCCGGGGCCGGGGGCCGGGGGCCGGGGGCCGGGGGGCCGGGGGGCCGGGGGCGCUUCCCGGAACAAAGGCACGAUCCUGAGGCCGUUUCGCGGGCCGUCCCCCCUCCCCCCACCCCAGCGCCAGCUUUGUCUCCUCGCGCGUGCGAGGCUGAGACUCGGAGGAGCCCCCGAGCCGGAGGGGCCGGCGUGGGAAGCUGCCCCGGCCGCCGCUGCGGUUUCCUGCAGCGCGACGAGCCCUUAGAGGAAGUGGGAGGGCCGCGCGGGGCUACCUGCAGCCCGCCGAGCGGGGCUGGACCUGAACCCCGCGCCCCCGGGGCCGUCGUGCGCCGGGGCCCAGGCGGCUGGGAGGGCGGGGGGCUCGGCGCCCCGGCUGCGCGGAGGAGCUGGGGUCCCGGCCCAGCUGGGCCUCGCGCGCGCAGCCCCGCCGCCGGGCCCUCCCCCCGCGCCCCCCGCGCGCCCCCGCCGCCCCCGCCCCCGCCUCCGCCCCCGCCGCCCCCGCGCGCCGGCACUGGCUCGCGCAGGCCUCCUGCCCGGCCGUGGGCGGGGGGGCGAAGCCCGCGGGAGGCGCCCCGCCCCGCCCCGCCCCGCCCCUGCCCCGCCGCGCGCAGUCUCUCCCCCUGCCCGCCGGGGCGGUGGCGGUGGCGCUGCUGCUGCCGCGCGGCCUGCGAGGCCGGCACUCCCCUCCGCCCGGCUCCCUGCUCCUCCUUUCUCUCCCUCCCUCCCUCCCCCCCCCCCCCCCCCCUCCCGCCCCUCGCAGGCUCGCCAGCCCGAGCGAAGGUGGCGCGGCGGCGCGGGACGCAGCCUCGGCCCCCGCCGCGGCCCCGCGAGCCCGAGAGGACCCCCGCGCCCCGCCCCCCCGCCCCCCGCGGCCCCCCGCGCCGCCCGGGGGCGCCCCCGCCGCGGCCGCCCGGAGGAAGCGCGAGCCGGGGAGCGAGGGGCCGGCGGCGGGAAGCCGGGAGAGGGAGGAGAGCGCGGCUCGAGGGCCCGCCCGCCGCGGCGCCGAGAGGGACGGACGGAGGGACGGACGGACGGACGGACGGCGGCCGGGGACGGGAGGGGCGGGGCGGGGAGGGGGCCGCCCGCGAGCUCGCCCGGCCCCUCGGCGGCGGCCCCGGGGCGGCGGCGGGCGGAGGGCGCGGCGGGCGCUGUCGAGACAAUAACCCGGAGCCGGAGGCCUAG